rnacentral:rRNA from 1 species
CAGUAGCCGCGGUAAUACGUAGGUGGCAAGCGUUGUCCGGAAUUAUUGGGCGUAAAGGGCUCGCAGGCGGUUUCUUAAGUCUGAUGUGAGAGCCCCCGGCUCAACCGGGGAGGGUCAUUGGAAACUGGGAAACUUGAGCGCAGAAGAGGAGAGUGGAAUUCCACGUGUAGCGGUGAAAUGCGUAGAGAUGUGGAGGAACACCAGUGGCGAAGGCGACUCUCUGGUCUGUAACUGACACUGAGGCGCGAAAGCGUGGGGAGCAAACAGGAUUAGAUACCCCGGUAGUCCCUGUCUCUUAUAC